rnacentral:lncRNA from 1 species
AUGAUUGAAAUUUUGGUUGGUACAGUACCAGCUCAUCCCUAGCGGUACCGUGUUUGUCCUCUAGAAAGUGAUGUGAGUUCAAAAUUUUGCGAAAAAAAAGGUUAAGUGACAUUUAGGUGUGAAAAAUUAUUGUUAAAAGAAAACAAAAAAAAAUAUAUAUAUAUACAAGGUAGGGACUCGUUCAUUACAAAACUAACUGUUAACUUAUAUCAUAACUACAAAUAUGAGACACGUACGCAAUUGACGGAUAAAAUACGAAUUAGGCUAUAGGGUGUGAUCAUGACCCUUAAGACCUCCAUUACCCUCUAUGUCAGCGCCAUGUGACCUCACUCUCAUCCACCAUCCAAAUCCACUAUCAUAUAUGGUGUGGAUAUGACCUAAACUACCCUCCCGAUUUUUUUUUAAAUUUAUUUUGUGAAAAAUAUAUUUAAUUAAUUAAGGAAAGGGAUGUACAUGGUUGUCAUGGUUUAAUCAAUGCCAACAAUGGUAGUUCCAUAAGAGGGGUGGUAUAGCACAUCAUCCACCAUCCUAUGUGGCAAUCCAUGACCCAUCUCAUGCCCAUGAGAGCAUGAGAUGCAUCACAUUUAAAACAAAGAUACAAGUGCAUUACGUUCUUUGCCCGUGCUACAUGGUGUUUAAUUAAAUGGGUUAUGUUCGAAUUGACCUAUUUAGCCACUUUAAUUAAACAUGUUGAUCCGUCGAGCUAUUUAAUUCGUUUAUUUCAACCCACCAAUCUAAUUACCACAUUUAAAAACUAAUUACUACCCGUUAACCCAUUUGUCACAUUCAGAUAAUUACGUUGAAUAGAUCGUUUAGUGUAUCCAAAGUUGAUUUUAACACCAAUUAUAUUAUAUUAUACUAUACAUACAAAAUCGCUGGGCUGGAAUAGUGUUUCCUUGUGAUUGGUGGAAAGGGGCGGUGGUGGAUGCUAUAUGGCAUCCACCCAAGUAAUAUUUUUUUGUUUUUUUCUGAACGCAAAAAUGUUUUAUAUAACUGUCUAACUAGAACCCUCUUAACAUUAAUAAUUUACCUUACUACCCUUAUAUUAUAGUAAUUUACCCUACUAACCUUAAACUUUAAAAUUUACUUCAUAGUUCUUA